CCAUCUAGAAUGACAGUGAAGAUGACAACCAGUGUCAAGGCUCCAGACAGAUGAGUGACCCAUCUUAACUCCUCUGAGCCUGGUUAAGUUGCCAGGUGAUUACAGCCAUAUGGGUGACCCCAGGUAUCAGAGGGAGUAAGUGAUUUGCCCAGGGGCACAAUGCUAUCAGCGAAAGGAUCAGGAUUCACAGCUGGCCAUUCUGACAGGCUGCAUCCUGGGAUCUUCACAACACCACCCUAUUCAGUAAACUCCUAGAGUCAUUUUCAAGUGCACAAGUGCAGCAGUUUCUUUAGGGUACAUGCCUGAAAAGGAAAUAUCUGGAUCUUAGAAGAUGCUCCUCCUUAUCAAGUAUCCCAAAUAUAGUAUUGCUAAAUCACUUCACCAAGUGGCUUAACCCUGCUCUCAGCCAUGCAUGAAAACACCUGCUACUCUACAUCUUGCCAUCCACACCCAGAAAGAAAAACACCAUCCAGCAGAAGCUCGGUGCUGAGGUGUCAGAAUCAGAAACUACUCUUCAGAGAAUUCAACUGAGUCAUUUGGAGAUGACGGUUGACUAGAGAUAUUUUAUCACUUUCUGACAUUUUAAGUUAAAUCUCCUUUAGAGAAAUUGUGGAGUUUGAAGUUGCUUAGCAAAAGUCUGCUAAUUCUCUGUAUUGUAUUAUCAGCAAUUUGAGGACAGGGAUCAAGUCUCCUCAUUUAUUUUUAAUCCCUGGGGUGGUACUGACACAGAA